rnacentral:tRNA from 1 species
CCUUCGAUAGCUCAGUUGGUAGAGCGGUGGACUGUAGUUUUUUGUCGUUUACAUAAAAGAGACAUACAUAGGUCGCUGGUUCAAAUCCGGCUCGAAGGA